rnacentral:rRNA from 1 species
GAUGAACGCUGGCGGCGUGCUUAACACAUGCAAGUCGAACGGGCAUAUCUUUCGGGGUAUGCGAGUGGCAGACGGGUGCGUAACACGUAGGUGACCUGCCCUGGAGUGGGGAAUAACUGCCCUAACGGGUGGCUAAUACCGCAUACGCUCAUGGAGUCGGAUUCAUGAGUAAAGCCUUCGGGCGCUUUGGGAUGGGCCUGCGGCGGAUUAGCUAGUUGGUGGGGUAACGGCCUACCAAGGCGAUGAUCCGUAGGGGGCGUGAGAGCGUGGCCCCCCACACUGGCACUGAGACGCGGGGCAGACUCCUACGGGAGGCAGCAGUGAGGAAUAUUGCACAAUGGGCGCAAGCCUGAUGCAGCAACGCCGCGUGCGGGACGAAGGCCUUCGGGUCGUAAACCGCUUUUCUGGGGAACGAGCAAGGACGGUACCUCAGGAAUAAGUCUCGGCUAACUACGUGCCAGCCGCCGCAGUAAAAC